rnacentral:rRNA from 1 species
UACAGAGGUCUCAAGCGUUGUUCGGAUUCAUUGGGCGUAAAGGGUGUGUAGGUGGCGCCGUAAGUCGGGUGUGAAAUUUCGGAGCUUAACUCCGAAACUGCAUUCGAUACUGCGGUGCUUGAGGACUGGAGAGGAGACUGGAAUUCAUGGUGUAGCAGUGAAAUGCGUAGAGAUCAUGAGGAAGACCAGUGGCGAAGGCGGGUCUCUGGACAGUUCCUGACACGGAGACACGAAGGCCAGGGGAGCAAACGGG